rnacentral:lncRNA from 1 species
AAACGAAUUCCUACAAUCGUGAAUUAACAAAACUUGCUACACGAAAACGUAGUAUACAAAGUUUCUAGAAUUACUAGACUUGAUUUAGAGUACCAAUAACAUUUAAUAGCAUCGGAACCUACAUUACAGUGGUCGUAUUACCUAAAGGUUCUUUUGCAGCAGCCAGGGUUCUUUUCAUGCCACCGAUGAACAGUGGUCACGUUAAAGAGUGAUGUAUCCAUUCUGCAAUGCUAAAUUACAAUUGGUAGUAGUUUCUAGGGAGGGUAUACCCAUCGACAGUGGAAAAACUUAAUCACUUCAAACUCGCUGAAAGAGACAGAGAAAGAACUUAAAACUCUUAACACCAAUUAUGAAGGUAAACUUUUCAAGCCAAUCUUACUUCCGCCAAUUAUUUUUAUCUUCACCAAACGCCGUCCCUUCCACUGGUCGCCAAGUCUUAGCACUAAACCAAAUUUAAUGCAAGUGCCACCUAGAUCCAUCCAUCAGACCUAUAUAAUGCGCUAUAUAUAUAUAUAUAUAUAUAUAUAUGGCAAACCCUAUACAUGGGAGUGGGACAUCACCCCUAAAUUUUAUUAGUUAUUUAAUUUAGAAAAAAAAAAACAGAGGAGGACACCGAUCUUACCUCCAAAUAGUACAAAGGAAAACACUAACAUGACAGAAUAGAAAUCAGGAGUACUGCUCCCUUUACAUCAUUUACUCUUGCAUUUCCUAAUUGAUGGAAGGCCUAUUUUGUCUAAUCUAAAAGCCCCUCAAACAAUGAGAGGAAGAUCUGAAAGCUGAAGGUAGGCCGCCCUAUCCAAUCAUUCAUCACAACCUACAUUGGAUAAACAAUUCACAACUUGGUUACCUUCCUGAAAGCAAUGAAAAAUUUCAACAAAAUUAGAUGAAAAGGUUAGAAGAUGUUGAACUUCCAUAUAAAAACUCCAAAAACUCCAAGCACUAAAGAGUCCAUUUCAAUAUGAAUGUUUAUAUAACCACGAGAAAUGCAUAGCCUAACCCCAAAGAGGAGGGCACGCACUUCAGCUUGAAUGCUAGUUACACUGCCUAAAAAAGAGGAGAAUGCAAGUAGGAAAUUUCCUUCACCAUCCAGCAAAACUCCACCAUUUCCUGCCCUUCCUGGAUUACCCCUUAAGCAACAAUCAGUAUUAAGUUUAACCACUCCCAAAGAUGGUGUCCUAGCUUAAGUAAAACCUGAUUUUGAAAUGAAGUGAGAGAAGCACAAAACUCUAUCCAUGUUGAAGAAGCAAAAGGAUACCCAAGAAAUUGCAACUUGAAGAUAAAUUAACAAUAUAUUGAAGUUUUAGGUUGUAGAUUCCACUUAUGGUCCAAAAAUUACAAUUGAAUGAGUUUUACCUCUUGUUACUACUCUUGUUUAACUAGGGAUCAUUUCUAACAUUACCAAAAUUCAUUCUCAUGAUGUAGUGGCUUAAACUAGUUUAGCCUUUCCUAUUCUCAUGGUCAAGAACUAAAUCUAGUCAUUUAACUUCAUGAAAUGGUAAGAAAAUCCACUUAAAUGUACAUCUACUCUCGUGAGUCUACUCCUUAAUUUUCAUUUAUCUUGUUUCAUCAUUAUUACCGAUUUUCAUUGAGUAACAAUAACUAAAAACUUGCUAUUGUGAUCAAGCAACAAUAAGUAAUAAGUAUGUGUAAAUGAACAAAUUAAUACAAGAGGUAACAAGCACUUGUACGCUUGGGGGUUGAGUACAAAGCUACUCGGAAGACUGGGCGAUAUUCGGUAUUGACUUCAUCAUUUCCAGAGUCGCAACGUCUUCUAAUUUACUUGUUCGCCUUCAACAUAAUUCCAAGGGCAAGUGGAACAAAUGAGGUGCGCACAAGUGAUAUCUAUUUCUUGGAUAAAAUGGAGCAUGGUUUAGGAAACAUCCAAGGCAUUCCAUUGGGAAGCAUUAUCACCAACCACAUGUGGACUGUGGUUCACAGUAACAACAUCAAACAUGCCUUCCCAUAUCCUCGGUUCUUGACCUUUGAGUUUCAAAGGGUUGGAGUGGAUUUUUCUAAUGCUAUCCCUAUAGGUCUCAAGAAGAAGGAUGUCUUUACACUGGAUUUUUGUAGGUUUAUUUUGAAGAGUAAAGACAUAGGUGGUCCUUCGACUCAAGGAGAUGCUCAAGGAGACAUUCGGCAUGAGGAGGGAGCUGAAAUUGAACGAAUUGAAGAAGCUCAAGGGGUUGAGACAACCACCCCACUGAUCUCAACUGAGCCGUCUUCCUCACGUCGUCCAUCUUCACCUCAAGACACUCGAACAUUUCUGAAGAAGAUAAUGGAUAAGCUGCCUUGCGUCGAGGCUGAGGUGAAGAAGAGCCGCCAAGAGAACAAACGGAACUCCGAGCGUCUUCAUCGCAUUGAGACCAAGCUGGGUAUUGAAGCUUCUCCGACUCCACCAUCUUCACCUGACCAAGUGACUACUUGAGGGAGUGCUUGUCACCUCAUGACAUUGCCACUAGUUUUUCUUUUAUUUUCUGUAGUAUUUGUGAUGUUUAAUUUUUAGUGGUUUUCAUUAUUUCUUUUGUGUGAACUAAUCCAAGUGAUCUUCAUCUAUGUUUUUCAGAUUUCUUAUGGUUGGAAAUUCAUCACUUGACCAUGGAUUCUGAUUAUGCAAGUUCAAUUGACCAGUAUUUUCUUUUACUCUUUAUUUAUUUCCCUUUUCUCACAUUGAGGACAAUGUGAAGUUUAAGUGUGGGGGAGGAAAAUAUUGAACUUGCAUUUACUUGCUAGGUGAUGAUAUUUUGUGGAUUUAAAUGCUUAGAAAUGUUGGAAUUAUGUUUGAAUUAUUUUCCAUGUGGAUAAUUUGCUUAAAAUUGGGUUUGUUGGCAAAGAGUUUUGUCCAUUAUAAGGGGAAACUCUGUCAAAAUUUUUCUAAAUCUUUUCCAAUAUUGCACUAUGGCCCAAAAAAAUUCUUUAAUUUUUUGCAUUUUAUUUUAAAAAGGGCUAAAUUGUUCCAACCUUAAGAGUUUAAUUCUUCCAAUUAUUGAAACUUUAUGUGUAUUUUGGAAGGUUUAGUCCUCAUUUAACUUGAAAAUAGUUAUUAUGCAAUUAGAAUUUUUACAUUUUAGAAAGUAUAUUUGGUAAAGUGAGGAAAAUUAUGCCUAUAAUUUUACAUGUUUAAUGAGAUUUCUUCUCUUUACUUAAUUUUGCAAGUAAGUGAUUGAUAUAGUCGAUAAAAGUUAUACUCCUCCUUUGAUUAUUCUUAUAUAUUUUCUAAGAGGGAAUAUCUAUUUAUUGUCCUUUCUUUUUGAAAAAGAAAAAAAACAAAGAGAGAAAAAUAAAAAAUAGAAAAAAGAGAAAAAAAAGUAAAUAAAAAUUGUUCUACUCCAAUGAUUCUCGUACCAAGUAACCGGGGGUUGGCAUCUACAAAUGUCGACAUUCGCGUAAAAAGGUACUUGAAUUAAGAGUAUGCAUAGCAACUUGAAUAGGUGAAAUGUUGAGUAACCGGGGAUCUUCACCUAGAAGUGUCGAUUUUCGUGUAAAAAGGCAUUCUCACUAUUUAAGUAAAAAUUAGUAUGAAUAAAUCCCUCUUAGUUAUAGAAUUUUGAGAAAAAGAUGAUUAUAGUAGGAGGAAGGCUAUAAAUUGACUAUGUGAUUUGCUUAUUUGUAAAAUUAAGUUAGGGUAAGAGAUUAAGUUUAACUUGUUGAAUUUAGGGUAUAAUUAUCUUUCCUUUACUUGAUAUUAUGAGUAUUUAGUGUAAUUUGAACAAUGAUAUAAUGAUUAUUUUCCAAGUUUUGAGAAAUUAAAUUGGACAAAGUGCAUAUAUUGUUUCACCUCUUGAAUCAUUGUAGUUCAUUAUGUGUGGUUUGCUUGAGGACAAGCAAUGAUUCAAGUGUGGGGGAGUUUGAUAAGUGACUAAUUUACGUAAUAAUUGUAUGAUAUUUUAUAUUAUUUUUAGUCACUUUAGUUAUAUUAUUGGAAGAAAAUGAAUCAUUUUGGCUAUAAUUGAUGAAAAAUGCUUUUAAGUGAUUAAAUGAGGUUUUUAUCACUUUUUAGUGGGAUUUUGUGUAUUUUGACAGUUUUGACAUAUUUUUGUAUUUUGGCUAUAACUUGAGUUACAAUAAUCGGAUUGAGAUGAUUCUUGAACCAAUUUGAAUAUAAGAGAUAGAUAUACAACUUUGGUGAAGACAUAUGAAUCCAGUUUGAAGGUUUUCAAAGUCAAAAAGCUAAAUUACAGUAGCAAAUUUCUACUGGUCGAAGCUGAAACAGGGCAAUGAGCAGGUAAGGGUAUUUCAUACAUUUCUCAGCCUACACAGAUCUAAAUGAGGUGAUUCUUGAUGCAUUGGAAAGCUAACUCAAAGGGUUACAAGUUUCAUGUUUUGGUCAAGAGCUAAAUCAGCUUUUAUCAUCAAGAAAAGUUCAGUGGAAGUUGAUGCAAAAUUGGAGCAGAGCUGGAAAUUGAACCAGAAGUGACCAAAUGGUCACUAUAGCAAUCCGGCCGGAAUUUGGCUGGAUUUCUGGCCAGAUUGUGGUCAGAAAAGGCUGCUAUGUACGCGUAAAACUCAAUUUCACCUCCACCAACUCACAUGUGAUGCUAGACAUGUGAGAAACAUUCCCAGCUGUAAAAGGGAGGUGUAAACCUUAAGUCUUGACCAAUCUUUCAUCUUUAUAUUGUCAAAUUCAUUGCAAGAUUGAGAAUAGAGAGAGAUACGGGAGAAACUUGGAGUGCAGAGAUGUAGCUCUUGCAUUUUCUGAGUAGUAGUAGUAGGUUAGUAUAAAGUAGAGUGUUAUCCAUUCUUGUUUAUUAGCUAGAUGAAGAAGAAGAUGGAGGAUGAAGAAGGCAAAGAGAUGAACUCAUGUGAAAAGGGUUACAUUCCUUCCAAACUCUUUAUCUUUUGUAGUUAAUUCCAAGUUUGGUUAAUAUACAAGUUCUGGAUUUUGUGUUCAAUAUGUGUCUUUGAAGUUUAUGCCUUGGGUUUGGUUGAACUUUCUAUAAUUGUUAGUGUUUAUUAUUUGGUUAUUUGAUUGAUAUGAUUUGAGCAAGUUAUUUAGCACUUUGGCUCUUUAAAUCAUGAUUAAUCUGGUACCAUUAAUUGUGAUUAUCUAAGAUGUUGUUUCUGUAAUGAAAAUUGAGAUUUAACACUAGUUCAAAAGUGCUAAACAUAGGGAGUACACUCAUGAAAGUAGAGGUGCACCAAUGUGAUUUUUAAUGAUUCAUUUCGUGUAAUUUCACUGAAGAAAUAACCUUGUAACUAAUUUCAUAACCAUGGGAAUAGGUAUGGAUUAGUUAUAAGUAUAAUUGAUUCACUACGAAAGUAGGAUUCAAAUGCAUAAGGAAGUUACACCAUAACUAGUCUAGAUAUAGUACUCAAUGAUCCAAAUAUAGCACUUGCAUGAGUAGUUAGGGAUACCACAACCUAAGGAGUUUUUAUUUGUUAUUUUGUAUAAUUUCAGUAGGUUAAAUUUGUUAUAAUUCGUUGAUAGUCUAAAAAAUAAAGAAGCUUUAGUAAUACCGGUAAUUGUUCACUCUUCCCUGUGGGAUCGACCCGAUAUAUGCCCUAAACUAUUAGUUGACUUGUAUACUUGCAGUGAACGGGUGUAAUUCGAUUUUUUUUAACUUGUACGUAUAUGUAAAAUACCCGUCAAAGGAAAUAAACACAUAAAUCAAAUAUAGCACAUAGCACAUAAGCAUAAUAUCUAGAUGCAAAAAUCCUAGGAAAGUGAGUAAACACAUAAGCACACAAGCAUGUAAACACAUAAACAAAUAAAAUUGAAUAAAGACUUAACUAUUACAUUCGGGGGUCCCUAACUACAAUCUAAAGGGGUAAAGAAUGAAAUGAAAUAAUAACCUGACUAUCACAAUUUGGCAUUUUAAUGCCUCUCAAAUAACCAAAAAUUAAACUAAAAUAAAUGUACAAAAUUAAAACAAAUAAAGUGAAUAAAUAAAUAAAUGAAAUAAAAUAAAAAGUAUUCAAAAAACAUGCAAUUGCACACAUAAAAUCACAUAGGAGCACAUAGGAUCAAGUAAAAUGAAAAUAAAGGAGUAGAAUGUACCUCUCUUAAAUUGGUGAUCUAAUGAAAUGAAAAUUCUCUUAUUUACCCUCCAAAAGAAAGGAAAUGGUCAAGGCACCAAUUUAUUUGAUAAACACAAAACAAAUCAUUUGAAAUCAACUCAAGGUUCCUAAAAUUUAGAAAUUAAAUGCCAUUUAAACUAAACAAGUAGUUAAACAAUUCAACUUUAUCAAACAAAAUGCAAAUUAAUGAUUCAAACGUCAUCACCUUAAUUCACUAAAUUAUGGAGCAUUCAAAAUCUAAACUCAACAAGUUCACUUGAAAUUCUAUUGACAAAACUCGAGUUAACUCAUAAAGAUUUGCAAACAUUGAGAAAAUUUCAGGAGUCAAAUUAUUAUUACAAAUAUUAGGGGGUGAAAUCAAAGCAAAAAUAAAGCCCUCAAGACCAAUUAAGUUCUAAUUAUUUCCUAAAACCAGAAAAUAACUUUGUCUAAAACAUGGUUAAAACAUAAAAGGAUUGAUUGAAUUUCAAAAAGGGUAAAAUUGAUUGAGUUUUCCAUAUUCUUGUGCCAUAACAGCAUUACUUAGAAAACUAGGGGUUAAAGUGCAAUUUUUAAAACUUUUCAUGCAAAGGGCGAAGCUUUCUUCUUCCUUCGUCUGCAACUUCACAACUAUGACCUAUGACGUUCAGGUCAUACGCAGCUAACAAAAUUCAAACAAACAGCAAUCUUUCGAACCAAAACAACACUUUAUGCAUCUUAUCAUCAAAACCCAACCAUAUAUUAUGCAUUCCCCAGGAUUCUCCAACCCAGAUCACGCACAAAGACCAAAAAAAAAAAACAGUCAUGAACUCCUGCACACCCAACAACUAACCUCACAUGAAUUCCCAAACAAAGUUCCGAAACAUGUCUCAGACGAGGAAUAUCUUUCUUAAGAUGACAAGGAAUAUCUCUCUCAAACUCAUCAAGGAUUGGCAAAAAUGCAGCAAGUGAUAAAAAAACCACCUUUUAACUAGCAGACAUGAAGAUCUAAGUGAUAAAGGCAGCAUAGCUACAACAACAGCCAAACAGUUCAAAAUUCACAUCUUAUAGCCUUCGAUUCUCAUGCAAAAUAGUGUUAACACAUCCAAGAAAGAGGCUAGGAUUACCUUGAAGCUUUUGUAAAGCAGGAAUAAACGUGAAAAUCCUCCAAGAGAUCACGACAAUCUGGAAACGCAGCUCAAGAAGACUUGCUGCAGAAAUUUCAGCGCUGACAAAAUCAGCACUUUGGGUCGCGAUUUGAGAGGGUUAGAGGGAUUUUUACUGAGCGAUUUCUGGUAUCCAUAGAUGGUGCAGCAAGAAAAUCUCCUCAAAAGGAGGUCGGGAUUUGUUGAAAUAGGGUGAUGAACAGAAUAGAUUCAUCAAUCCUAGCUCAACUUUCUGCAGAAAAAUUUCUGCACUUUUCUCUCCUCUCUUGAUCCUCAACCGUCACCUCCUCUCCACCUCUCUCUCUCUCGAUUUUUUUCCUUUUUCUCCCUUUGCCUUCUUGCUUUCGUUUCUUGCCCCCGUAGCUUCCUUCCCCAGCUUUUCUUGUUUUUUCCAGAUUUUCCUCUAACUCCCACCUGUCUUGCCACCUAUCCCCCUUGCAUGUGUUGUGCAAAAAAAAAGACACAUGUCUAAUGCUCCCCUAACACAGUUAGCUACCAUGCAUGCCCUUCGCCUAUCUAUUUUGCAUGUAUUCCAUAUAUUUUUGUAUUUUCUCUUUUUAUUUUGUUUUUCAAAACAAAUUUAGGGUAAAUAAAAUGUUAAACUCCUAAUUGAAAUUGCCUUACGAAAAUUUCAUUUUAUUUGAAGAAAUUAAGUUUGAAAAAACUAAGAACAAAUUUUUGUGCAACUUUUCUUUUUUAGAAAUUUAAUGCAAAAAUGUUUUAAAAUGAAAAAUGAUAAACCUAAUUUACUAAAAUAAAUAAACACAAACUAUUAUUUUGCAAAUUUAGUCAACUAAAAUAAAAAUAAAAUAGAAUAAAAUGAGAAUAAAUAAAAAAUAAAGCUAAAAUCAAAGUAAAUAAAAUUAAAAAUUUGGUGUCUACACCUUGUCCCUCUUUGUCUGAGUUUCGAAGAAACUUGAGGUAAAGACGUAGACAGCAAAUACUUACCUGUAACUAUUCUGCUGUAAACUGAAAUAGCAAACAUAUAAAGGUCAGUGAGAUAAAAAUCCGAACCUGCCAUAACAUCGGUCAGUGGUAUAAAAACCCGAGUCUACCGUAAAAUUGGUCAAAAAUUGACUAGAUUGUUUUAAAAAUGAAUAAACCGGUAAAAUGGAUUGGAUGGAAUUGAUGAUUUAUUCAAAAAUUGACUGAAUUAUCCUAAAAAUGAAUUGAUCAAAUAGACUGUAUGUAGUGGAUAACUUAUCCAAAAAGAAAAUGACUCAAUUAUCCUAGAUGUUAAUAAACUCGUAAAAAUGGGAUGGAUAGAAUUGAUGGUUUAUUUGAAAAUUGACUAGAUUGCCCUAAAAGUGAAAAAUCUAGUAAAAUGAAUUAUUUGAAAAUUGACUAAAUUGUCAACCGAUUUGUGGUUUUCAAAUUGUACGAAUUUCGUUACAAUGCAUUAGUUCAAGAUUUGGUCUCAAUAUAUUUAUCGUUUCAACAAUGAGGAAUUAUGUGUGAAUUUCUUCAACUUAAUGUCCUUUAUGCCAGGGAAUUUUACCAACUAUGUUAAAAUAGCCAAAAGAUAAUUGUUAGACACUCAUACUCUAAUGUGCAAAAAAUUGCUCUAUCAUCUUCGAGACUAAUGUCAUCAUGGAAGGGACCUGAUUCUACCUUACCUUGUGCACUACCCCUUUGGAUGGUACAAGAAAUAUAAAUGUGUAAGCCUCAUUGGAUUACAUAUCCGAGACAUAAGGUGGCUUAUUCCUAUUGUGGGAUUCCCUAUGCGGCAUUCCCUUCUAAAGUUGAUGCAUGAUGCCAAUUUAUUAAAGUGAAUAAAUAUGCAAUUUGAAAUAAAAACAUGACCUAAGGGACCCCUCCUAUGCUAGGGUGGAGUUAAAAUGAUGUGCAAUUAUUAACCUACGAAUGCAAUACAUCGGAAUUUUAAAUGUGCAAUAGCCUAUCUAAGAGGGUAGGUUCUAAAAGGGUAUCAUGCCAGAUCUCUUAUUUUCUAGCGUUUGUAAAUACAAAAGACAAGAAAACAAGGAAAUGUUAGUUCAACACAUAACACGUUGUGACAAUUAAAUGAUACAAAAAGCAAAAAGAAAAAUAAGGAAAGAGGGGUGGAAUCCCUCCCCUCAUGCCUAGUGUUCCUAGUUGGGUAAGGUUGACUCUAUCUAGAGUAUUUCUAAUAUGGAUGCAUGAGGUUUGGCUUAUUAAUACAUCUAGAUUCGAUAAGGCUUCAGGCUUCCAAGCCUUCAGACCAAGAAGCAAAGGGUCAUCAAUCCAAGGCCUUUGGUCGGUGGCUUGAGUGAUCCCUUAGGCAUCACUAUGGGUGCAGCGUAAACUAUCCACCUACCUAAGGAAAUCGAUCAUAAUCCUACAAGGAGAUGUGGGAUGGCGCCCACGAGAAAGAAUAAAAAUAAGGUAAAAGUAAUGCAUGCACGUAUGAGGUGCUUCCUUUUGAGGGGAGGAAUUAAAUACCAUAAAAUGCGGGUGAAGGUUCUAGGAUGGCUACCCCCUCCCCAAGAUGCAAGCGCGAUGUAUAAACAUAAGUGAAUGAAAGAAAAUAAACACGUUUAUUCAUCACAUACACCGAUAUCGAGAUGAUCGAGCGUGUUAAAUGCAAGAAACGCUAAAAGAAAAAAAUGCAACUUAAAAUCUCCAAAUGUGAUAUAUAAAAAGGUUAGAAAAAGAAAAGAAUUGAUUAAAUCAAAUGCUCGGACUCCCUAAAGUUCCCAAUGGAGUUGCCAAGCUACCGUGCCCUUUUUUUGAAAAAAAAAUAAAAUAAAUUAUGAGGAUUUAUAAAAAUGAAUUUUGAUUAAUUUUGAUUUGAAAAAAAAAAUUGAGUUUUUGAUUUUUAGAAAAUAAAUAAAGAAGAUGGGCCAAAAUGAUACUUAAAAGUGUGACGGUUUUGGCCCCAAAAUAAUAGUCUAAAAAAGGUUUUUUAAGGAAAAAUAAGAGUCGCUACUUGGUAUUGAGUUAACAUGUACCAAGUCACCUAAAAUAAAUUAUAAAUAAAAAAUAGAGAAAAACCCUUUUUAAACGAUUGCAAGUCUGCGAAAAUCAAGAGAAAUGGGCUUGGGAAUCACGAUUGAAGAAAAGGGAAGGUAAGGAUAAAAUCCAAGGCACCCUUUCAACCUAACCAACGCUAGUUGCGUGAUUUAGUCAAAAUUUUUCUUAAUUUAACCUAAAAACCUAUCACAUUUGGAUGUCAUUAUAUGAAUGCAAAUCUAAACCUAAUUGCUAUCGAAAGGGUCGAGAUGUCUCUUCGAAAUUUAAUUGGUACAAAUCGUAUUAAUUGCAAUGGCCAAAAAUGAUCUUUAGAAGAGGUCACGAGUAUAUAAAGAAUGAGACUCGAAGAAAAGAAAAGAAAAUAAUAAUAUACAAAUAUAUAUGAUUUAAAGGAUGCAUUAUAACGGGUGAGGGGAACUAAUUUUCGUGAUUUAGAUUUUCCUUUUUAUAGAGAAGAUACGAGCGUGCUAAGGUUAAGGGACCAUACUCGUCCAUAUCUCAUAUUUAAAAGGUACUCUUCUAUCUAAUCAAGCAAAUGAUCUAAUUUAGUUCUAAUUUGCUUAAAUGGAAUGCAAGUCUACGUAUUAUGUUUCGCAUAUAGUGAUAAGGGAUAUACAUAGGGGAAAUAUCAUGCAAAAUGAUAAGGAUCCUAAAAAGUAGAAAAAUAUGCAUGAAAUGUAGUGAUUUGUCACGCAAACAUGAUCUAACGCGUGGUAGUCCCUAAGGGUCUAGCGUUGGACUAACCCAUGUCUAUAAGUUCUUACUAGCGUUGGACUAGUGAGAAAUCGGAAAAAGGGUCCACAACUAGCAUUGGACUAGUGUGGUGACGUCAUGCACUUAUUAUAAUCAAAUAAAUCAUAUAAAACAUAAUAAAAGAAAUAAACACAUAAAUCCCAUAUAGCACAUAGCACAUAAGCAUAAUAUCUGGAUGCAAAGACCCUAGGAAAGCGAGUAAACACAUAAGCACACAAGCAUGCAAAUACAUAAACAAAUAAAAGUGAAUAAAGACCUAACUAUUACAUUCGGGGAGCCCUAACUACAAUUUAAAGGGGUAAAGAAUGAAAUGAAAUAAUAACCUAACUAUCACAAUUUGGCAUUUAAAUGCCUCUCAAAUAACCAAAAAUUAAACUAAAAUAAAUAUACAAAAUUAAAACAAAUAAAAUGAAUAAAUAAAUAAAUUAAAUAAAAUAAAAAAUAUUCAAAAAAACAUGCAAUUACACACAUAAAAUCACAUGGGAGCACAUAGAAUUGAGUAAAAUCAAAAUAAAGGAGUAGAGUGUACCUCUCUUGAAUUGGUGACCUAAUGAAACGAAAAUUCUCUUAUUUACCCUCCAAAAGAAAGGAAAUGGUCAAGGCACCAAUUUAUUUGAUAAACACAAAACAAAUCAUUUGAAAUCAACUCAAGGUUCCUAAAAUUUAGAAAUUAAAUGCCAUUUAAACUAAACAAGUAGUUAAACAAUUCAACUUUAUCAAACAAAAUGCAAAUUAAUGAUUCAAACGUCAUCACCUUAAUUCACUAAAUUAUGGAGCAUUCAAAAUCUAAACUCAACAAGUUCACUUGAAAUUCUAUUGACAAAACUCGAGUUAACUCAUAAAGAUUUGCAAACAUUGAGAAAAUUUCGGGAGUCAAAUUAUUAUUACAAAUAUUAGGGGGUGAAAUCAAAGCAAAAAUAAAGCCCUCAAGACCAAUUAAGUUCUAAUUAUUUCCUAAAACCAGAAAAUAACUUUGUCUAAAACAUGGUUAAAACAUAAAAGGAUUGAUUGAAUUUCAAAAAGGGUAAAAUUGAUUGAGUUUUCCAUAUUCUUGUGCCAUAACAGCAUUACUUAGAAAACUAGGGGUUAAAGUGCAAUUUUUGAAACUUUUCAUGCAAAGGGCGAAGCUUUCUUCUUCCUUCGUCUGCAACUUCACAACUAUGACCUAUGACGUUCAGGUCAUACGCAGCUAAUAAAAUUCAAACAAAUAGCAAUCUUACGAACCAAAACAACACUUUAUGCAUCUUAUCAUCAAAACCCAACCAUAUAUUAUGCAUUCCCCAGGAUUCUCCAACCCAGAUCACGCACAAAGACCAAAAAAAAAACAGUCAUGAACUCCUGCACACCCAACAACUAACCUCACAUGAAUUCCCAAACAAAGUUCCGAAACAUGUCUCAGACGAGGAAUAUCUUUCUUAAGAUGACAAGGAAUAUCUCUCUCAAACUCAUCAAGGAUUGGCAAAAAUGCAGCAAGUGAUAAAAAAACCACCUUUUAACUAGCAGACAUGAAGAUCUAAGUGAUAAAGGCAGCAUAGCUACAACAACAGCCAAACAGUUCAAAAUUCACAUCUUAUAGCCUUCGAUUCUCAUGCAAAAUAGUGUUAACACAUCCAAGAAAGAGGCUAGGAUUACCUUGAAGCUUUUGUAAAGCAGGAAUAAACGUGAAAAUCCUCCAAGAGAUCACGACAAUCUGGAAACGCAGCUCAAGAAGACUUGCUGCAGAAAUUUCAGCGCUGACAAAAUCAGCACUUUGGGUCGCGAUUUGAGAGGGUUAGAGGGAUUUUUGCUGAGCGAUUUCUGGUAUCCAUAGAUGGUGCAGCAAGAAAAUCUCCUCAAAAGGAGGUCGGGAUUUGUUGAAAUAGGGUGAUGAACAGAAUAGAUUCAUCAAUCCUAGCUCAACUUUCUGCAGAAAAAUUUCUGCACUUUUCUCUCCUCUCUUGAUCCUCAACCGUCACCUCCUCUCCACCUCUCUCUCUCGGUUUUUUUCCUUUUUCUCCCUUUGCCUUCUUGCUUUCGUUUCUUGCCCCCGCAGCUUCCUUCCCCAGCUUUUCUUGUUUUUUCCAGAUUUUCCUCUAACUCCCACCUGUCUUGCCACCUAUCCCCCUUGCAUGUGUUGUGCAAAAAAAAAGACACAUGUCUAAUGCUCCCCUAACACAGUUAGCUACCAUGCAUGCCCUUCGCCUAUCU